GAUGAACGCUGGCGGCGUGCCUAAUACAUGCAAGUCGAGCGAACAGACGAGGAGCUUGCUCCUCUGACGUUAGCGGCGGACGGGUGAGUAACACGUGGAUAACCUACCUAUAAGACUGGGAUAACUUCGGGAAACCGGAGCUAAUACCGGAUAAUAUAUUGAACCGCAUGGUUCAAUAGUGAAAGACGGUUUUGCUGUCACUUAUAGAUGGAUCCGCGCCGCAUUAGCUAGUUGGUAAGGUAACGGCUUACCAAGGCAACGAUGCGUAGCCGACCUGAGAGGGUGAUAGGCCACACUGGAACUGAGACACGGUCCAGACUACUAAGGGAGGCAGCAGUAGGGAAUCGUACGCAAUGGGCGAAAGCUUGACGGAGCAAGGCCGCGUGAGUGAUGAAGGUCUUCGGAUCGUAAAAAUCUGUUAUUAGGGAAGAACAAAUGUGUAAGUAACUAUGCACGUCUUGACGGUACCUAAUCAGAAAGCAACGGCUAACUACGUG
rnacentral:rRNA from 1 species